UUCUGGUUGAUCCUGCCAGAGGCGACCGCUAUUGGAGUUCGAUUAAGCCAUGCGAGUCGAGAGCUUUAGGAGCUCGGCAUACUGCUCAGUAACACGUGGAUAACCUGCCCUGUGCUCUGGGAUAACCUCGGGAAACUGAGAAUAAUACCGGAUAGUCCACCACGCCUGGAACGGUGGGUGGAUCAAAGGUCACGGCACAGGAUGGGUCUGCGGCGUAUCAGGUUGUAGGGGGUGUAAAGGACCCCCUAGCCAUUGACGCGUACGGGUUGUGGGAGCAAUCGCCCGGAGAUGGAUUCUGAGACACGAAUCCAGACCCUACGGGGUGCAGCAGGCGCGAAAACUUCACACUGCAGGAAACUGUGAUGAGGGAACUCCAAGUGCAUGCACAAUGUGUAUGCUUUUCCUUACUUUUAAUCGGUUUGGGAAUAAGGGCUGGGAAAGACCGGUGCCAGCCGCCGCGGUAAUACCGGCAGCUCGAGUGGUCGUCGCUUUUAUUGGGCCUAAAACGUCCGUAGCCUGUUUGGUAAAUCUGUGGGUAAAUCAACCAGCUUAACUGGUUGAAUUCUGCAGAGACUGCCAGACUAGGGACCGGGAGAGGUGUGGGGUACUCUCGGGGUAGGGGUAAAAUCCUGUCAUCCUGGGAGGACCACCAGUUGCGAAGGCGCCACACUGGAACGGAUCCGACGGUCAGGGACGAAGCCUAGGGGCACGAACCGGAUUAGAUACCCGGGUAGUCCUAGGAGUAAACGCUGUGAACUUGGUGUCGGGGAUCCUACUUGGGUUCCCGGUGCCGGAGUGAAGAUGUUAAGUUCACUGCCUGGGGAGUACGGUCGCAAGGCUGAAACUUAAAGGAAUUGGCGGGGGAGCACUGCAACGGGAGGAGCGUGCGGUUUAAUUGGAUUCAACGCCGGGA
rnacentral:rRNA from 1 species